UGGUAUAGAUGUGGUAUAGAGAGACAUGGCAGGACAUAUUCUCGGACAUUUUCCUGCCACCCCUGGGCGCUGUUGAAGCAACGGAAGCUGACGGAAUUUACUUCUGGAGGGUAGUCGUAGCGGUCGUAGGACGACGGCUGCCACGGGUGUCGUUGCUGAGCCAGGUGGCGGAGCUGGCAGCGUGCCGUUGGUGCCGUCAUGGCGGCGGUAGUGGCGAGUGGCCGCGCGCAGUCCGGCGGUGGAAAUGUGACGGAACCGAAAGCAUCGAAAGACACCGGCGCCUCGUAUGCCCAAGCCGCGGCCCGCGUGUCCUCCCAGGAGCCAGCUGCUGUUUCUAACGGAAUAACAGAACCAGUAUCCGGUGGACCCACUCAGAGCCUAGGCCUAAGCAGCAAUAUGGUUCGGCCCGGUUCGUGCGCGCAGGUCGCCGCCGAUGCGCCCAGGGCUAACCCCUGGGUGAAGCGUAAUGCGCAAGCAGCCUGCUCUGCCGCCGCCGCCAGCCGCACCGCAGCUGGUGGCAACCCUGGUGUGUCCUCCCACAAGGUGGACGAGGAAGAAGACUGGCCUAGCCUUGGACCAACGUCAGCUACUCAGAACGAGGUCAGCCACCACAGUGAUGAUGAGGACUCGGCCAAGGAGAACCGGGACGGCACAACCAGCACCACGCCUGACUCAUCAGCUCGCAAUACACCCCGCUCGGGUCCCCGUAAAGGCAGCAAGCAGAAGUGGGUUCCCCUGGACAUUGAGCCAGCGAAGCCCCGCAAACCAGCUGGACAUGAGGCCCGGCUUGGCAGCCGGCCGGUUGAAGGAGGUGAACGCCGAGGUCGUAGCUUCCGUGGGCGGCAGCGAGGGGGACGGUCGGGCCGGCCCUGGAGCACCCCACGUCCCCAGCCCAGCUCACUAGGCAGUCGGGGUCCAGAGGAGGGCUUUUCAUCUGCGGCUCCGAUUGCCUCAUCAUUCCUGGGCACAUACUACUUCAACCAGGGCUACAUACGUGUGGACGAGGCAACGUUACGCGAGUAUGUACGCAAGCAGGUCGAGUACUAUUUCUCCGAGGAGAAUCUUCAGCGGGACUUCUUUCUGCGCCGAAAAAUGGAUGCCCAGGGGUACCUGCCAUUGAGCCUGAUUGCAUCGUUCCACAGGAUACAGGCACUGACCCAGGACGUGGCGCUUGUCAUGGAGGCGGUGCGUGAGAGCCCCCUGCUGGAGCUGAAUGAUGUCAAGGUGCGCACAGUCAACGACCCCACGCGCUGGCCAUUGCCUCAAGCAUCGCUGCACCCGGACGUGCCUGCCUUUGUGCCAGGCCAGCCAUACCCGCCCACUUCGGAUGCAGGCAACGAGGCUGACACUGAGGAGCCACCUGAGGACGAGGGCUGGAAGGAAGUGCGGCGCCGCAACCGGUCACACCGGGCUCGCACGGCGUCACAAGGCCAUGCAGCCCCAGAGCGUGAGGAGCUCGAGUUCCAGUUUGAUGAGGAGCUACAGCGAGCCCCCGACGGGCGCAACAACACAUUCACUGACUGGUCUGAUGACUCGGACUAUGAGUUCAGUGACACGGAGGUGAACAAAAUCCUGAUUGUGACCCAGACGCCACCACCGCCAUCUGGCCUACGCAAGCACGAAGGCUACGAUCGGACAGGUGACUGGACCAGCCGUGUGAAAAUGACCCAAGAGCUAGCACAGGUGAUUAACGAUGGCCUCUACUUUUACGAGGAUGACCUGUGGAACCAGGUGGAUAGGCAGGAGCAGCAGAUAUACCGUACAGUCGAGGUAGUCAGUGAGGAGGAGUUUGCCCAACGCCAAGGCCCACAGCAGCGGGCAGCGGGUGGGCAGGCACCACCACCCCCACCACCUCCGCCCGUACCAGAGGGCACACCGCGCAGCGCGGCAGGCCGCACACCGCGCAAGGACCCCCGGGUGGCCCCCCGCUUUUACCCUGUGGUGAAGGAGGGCAAGCCGGACACACCGCGCAAGCAGAAGACGCGGCACAGCAGCAACCCUCCAACAGAGCACCAUGUAGGCUGGGUGCUGGACGUCCGGGAACACCGGUCACGAGCAGCCUCCAUUGGGGAAGCAGCAGUCGCCGAUGUGGUGCAUGGCAGCACACCACACUCUCUGCCCACUUUUGAGCACCCAAGUCACGCCCUGCUCAAGGAGAAUGGCUUCACCCAGUUAGUCUACCACAAGUACCGGUCACGUUGCCUCAAAGAGCGCAAGCGGCUUGGGCCAGGCCAGAGCCAGGAGAUGAACACACUGUUUCGCUUCUGGUCAUUCUUCCUGCGUGAGCACUUCAACCGCAAGAUGUAUGAGGAGUUCCGUCGGUUGGCUCUGGAGGAUGCACGCGCAGGCUACCGGUAUGGCCUGGAGUGUCUGUUCCGUUUCUACAGCUAUGGCCUGGAGAAGCACUUCCGGCCAGACCUGUAUGAGGACUUCCAGCAGGAGACACUGCGCGAUUGUGACCAGGGACAGCUCUAUGGCCUCGAGAAGUUCUGGGCUUUCCGCAAGUACUACCGCCUCAGCCACCAGUGCCACGUUGAGCCCCGGCUGGAGUCCCUCCUGCAGGGAUACCGCAGCAUCGACGACUUCAGGAUAGAUAUUCCGCCACCAGGCACCACCACAGCACCGUAAUAGAGUGGCGUGCGCAAGAGAGAUGCUGAUGCCGAGACUGCCACUGACAAAGAAGCUCCAUAUCACCUUUAAAGCGUGGAGAGGCCACGUCAGCGUACUGGAGCCCUGUGAGAAAUGUGUGCCUUGUUGUAGGCCCAACCUGGCACUGCCAGGCUGCAAGCCUCCUCCUCUAUUUCCUGGGUGGUAGAGCCUUUUUUCACGCCAUUGUAUAAAAUACCCUUCUUUGUGCUCAGAAGAAUAAAUGCCAACGCCUGUUUUAGUUUUCGUA